rnacentral:rRNA from 1 species
UGCAGUCGAACGAAGCCUUCGGGCUUAGUGGCGGACGGGUUAGUAACGCGUGGGAACGUGCCCUUCACUACGGAAUAGUCCCGGGAAACUGGGUUUAAUGCCGUAUACGCCCUUCGGGGGAAAGAAUUUCGGUGAGGGAUCGGCCCGCGUUAGAUUAGAUAGUUGGUGGGGUAAUGGCCUACCAAGUCUACGAUCUAUAGCUGGUUUUAGAGGAUGAUCAGCAACACUGGGACUGAGACACGGCCCAGACUCCUACGGGAGGCAGCAGUGGGGAAUCUUGGACAAUGGGCGCAAGCCUGAUCCAGCCAUGCCGCGUGAGUGAUGAAGGCCUUAGGGUCGUAAAGCUCUUUCGCCUGUGAAGAUAAUGACUGUAGCAGGUAAAGAAACCCCGGCUAACUCCGUGCCAGCAGCCGCGGUAAUACGGAGGGGGUUAGCGUUGUUCGGAAUUACUGGGCGUAAAGCGCGCGUAGGCUGACUAUUAAGUCAGGGGUGAAAUCCCGGGGCUCAACCCCGGAACGGCCCUUGAUACUGGUAGUCUUGAGUUCGAGAGAGGUGAGUGGAAUUCCGAGUGUAGAGGUGAAAUUCGUAGAUAUUCGGAGGAACACCAGUGGCGAAGGCGGCUCACUG